rnacentral:rRNA from 1 species
GGGAGCCCGGAGAUGGGAACUGAGACAAGGUCCCAGGUCCUACGGGGCGCAGCAGGCGCGAAAACUCCACAAUGCACAAACGUGUGAUGGGGUAUUCCCGAGUGCCGUCCGAUGAGGAUGGCUUUUGCUUAGUGUAAGGGACUAAGAGAAUAAGGGGGGGGCAAGUCUGGUGUCAGCCGCCGCGGUAAUACCAGCCCCCUGAGUGGUAGGGACGAUUAUUUGGCCUAAAGCGUUCGUAGCCUGCUCGGUAAGUCUUUCGUUAAAUCUAACGAUUUAAUCGUUAGACCGCGUAAGAUACUGCUGGGCUAGAGGAUGGGAGAGGUCGACGGUAGUCCUGGGGUAGGGGUGAAAUCCUAUAAUCCCAGGAGGACCACCAGUGGCGAAGGCGGUCGACUAGAACAUGCCUGACGGUGAUGGACGAGAGCUGGGGGAGCGAACCGGAUUAGACACCCGGGUAGUCCCAGCUGUAAACGAUGCGGGCUAGGUGUUGGAACAGCUACGAGCUGUUCCAGUGCCGCAGAGAAGUCGUUAAGCCCGCCGCCUGGG